GGUUGCGAUCAUACCAGCACUAAUGCACCGGAUCCGAUCAGAACUCCGCAGUUAAGCGUUUUUGGGCGAGAGUAGUACUAGGAUGGGUGACCCCUGGGAAGUCCUCGUGUUGCAACCC
rnacentral:rRNA from 1 species